GACGAACGCUGGCGGCGUGCUUAACACAUGCAAGUCGAACGGAAAGGCCAGUGCUUGCACUGGUACUCGAGUGGCGAACGGGUGAGUAACACGUGGGUGAUCUGCCUUGCACUCUGGGAUAAGCUCGGGAAACUGGGUCUAAUACCGGAUAUGAACUGCCUUUAGUGUGGUGGUUGGAAAGUUUUUUCGGUGCAAGAUGAGCUCGCGGCCUAUCAGCUUGUUGGUGGGGUAAUGGCCUACCAAGGCGUCGACGGGUAGCCGGCCUGAGAGGGUGUACGGCCACAUUGGGACUGAGAUACGGCCCAGACUCCUACGGGAGGCAGCAGUGGGGAAUAUUGCACAAUGGGCGGAAGCCUGAUGCAGCGACGCCGCGUGGGGGAUGACGGCCUUCGGGUUGUAAACUCCUUUCGACAGGGACGAAGCGUAAGUGACGGUACCUGUAUAAGAAGCACCGGCUAACUACGUG
rnacentral:rRNA from 1 species